UUGGGUUAAAUCCACAGGAACCUUCCAGAGAUGGAGGGGUGCUCUUCGGAGAAUCUGUGAGAAGGUGCUGCAUGGCUGUCGUCAGCUCGUGUCGUGAGAUGUUGGGUUAAGUCCCGCAACGAGCGCAACCUCUGUCGUCAGUUGCUAACAGGAAAGCUGAGCACUCUGGCGAGACUGCCGACGUUAAGUCGGAGGAAGGUGGGGAUGACGUCAAGUCCUCAUGGCCCUUACGCGCUGGGCUACACACGUGCUACAAUGGCGGUGACAGUGGGCAGCAAACUCGCGAGAGUGAGCAAAUCCCAAAAAGCCGUCUCAGUUCGGAUUGUUCUCUGCAACUCGAGAGCAUGAAGGCGGAAUCGCUAGUAAUCGCGGAUCAGCAUGCCGCGGUGAAUACGUUCCCAGGCCUUGUACACACCGCCCGU
rnacentral:rRNA from 1 species